CUGAUACUUUGUACAGGGAUGUCCAGAUGCAAAGAAGUGUCAAAAUUCUUCUAGGAAGCAGCUUUUAGACUCACUCAUCAGUUUUCCCUUUAAGUAAAAUGUUUUUCAUCUGUUUUAUAUAAAUUCCACGGACAGUCAAAUUUGGACACUGCUGGAAAAAUUCAUAAUAAAACAUUCUGUUUAAGCCAGA